CCCUUAGAGGUUCUGGGCCGCACGCGUGCUACACUGAGUGGAUCAGCGGGUCAGGUUGCGCGAAAGCGUUUCCUAAUCUUUAAAUCCGCUCGUGAUGGGGAUUGACGGUUGCAAUUUUCUGUCAUGAACGAGGAAUACCUUGUAAGCGCGGGUCAUCAUCCCGCGCUGAAUACGUCCCUGCCCUUUGUACACACCGCCCGUCGCUCCUACCGAUUGAGUGGUCCGGUGAGGCUUUGGGAUCUGAGCGGAAAGAGCGUUUCGCUGUUUCUGCUCGGAAAACUCAGUCGAACCUUAUCAUUUAGAGGAAGGAGAAGUCGUAACA
rnacentral:rRNA from 1 species